UACGUAGGUGGCAAGCGUUGUCCGGAUUUAUUGGGUUUAAAGGGUGCGUAGGCGGUCUAUUAAGUCAGUGGUGAAAUACUCCAGCUUAAUUGGAGGGGUGCCAUUGAUACUGAUGGACUUGAGUGAAGUCGAGGUAGGCGGAAUUGACGGUGUAGCGGUGAAAUGCUUAGAUAUCGUCAAGAACACCAAUAGUGAAGACAGCUUACUAGACUUAUACUGACGCUGAGGCACGAAAGUGUGGGGAUCAAACAGG
rnacentral:rRNA from 1 species